UUCUAGUUCCUGUUUCCUGCUUGUUGGAGGACAUAUGAACGACUAUGGUGACAUAUAAGCGACUAUGUUGACAUAUGAACGACUAUGUUGACACUGUAACAAGGUCCCUGGGGAAGUGAGAGUUGCGCUGAGCUUUUGAGCUUACGCUGUAAAGAGAGCCAGACCUAAAAAUCAAGGAUCAACACAAUGGCAGUUUGUGCUUAGCAGGGAAACCUGUGAAUUCCUCAAAUGAAGUAAUUUGGGACCAAAAGCUUCAACCGGAUGUCCAUAUGUCUAGUUCAUAGUGUAACAGCAUGCCGUAACAGCAAAGACAGU